rnacentral:ncRNA from 1 species
AAGAUACGACAGGAAAUAUAUAUAUAUAUAUGUGUUCAAUAGCUGGCUUGUUGCAGCCAAGCGUUCAUAGUGAGGUUGCUUAUUGAUCCUUCGAUGUCGGCUCUUCCUAUCAAGCUGAAGCAGAAUUCAGUAAGUGUCGGAGUGUUCACCCACUAAUAGGGAACAAGACCUGGCGUUUAGACCGUUGUGAGACAGGUUUUUACCUUACUGUUGAGAUGUUAUUGCAAUAGUAACUGGACUUACUACGAGAGGAACUGUUCAUUCGGAUAAUUGGUAUUUGGGCCCGCCUAAACAGGCAAUGGCACGAAGCUAUCAUCCGUUGGGUUAUGGUUGAACGCCUCUAAGUCAAAACCCGUGCUAGAACGCAACGAUUACCGCCUUGUGCCAUUUUAGUUGAAUACGAAGAGAUCUUUGGAUCCGGAAUCAUACUACAAGGGGUCGAUCUUGCAGAGAGGAAAGGCUUUGUGAGGUUCCUUCUAAUGUUAAUUUCAAAUAUUGGAAGAGGCAAAUCCAUUGCAGACGACUUUAGUUGAACGGGGUAUUGUAAGCAGUAGAGUAGCCUUGUUGCUACGAUCUGCUGAGAUUAAGCCCAUUGUUCUAUGGAUUG